CUUCCCUUGUACUUGCUCUCACUGCUGAAAUUUUAUAAAGCAGUAUUAUUAAUUGAAGCAAUUAGUGCUGGGGAUAUCAGCACAGCCACGACACAGGGCUGCAGCCGUGCAAGGCGAGGCACUCUCCUUGGCUUUCUUGGGACCCCUUUUUCCUCCCUUGCUCUGUCCCCUUCUGUGCCCUCCUCAACUCUCUGGUUUCUACCCUGCCCCCCACUUUCCCCUGUCUUUUCUUCUGGCUCUCUCUCAAUAUCCCCUGGUCUCUGAGAGACCCUGAGAACCCGAUACCUUUGCCAGGCUGCAAUCAUUCACCAUCUCUGACCACUCCCCAGCCUGGUGGACAGACAGACAGACAGACAGAUGUAAAGACUGUGUUCCUGUGGCUGACUGCUGCCUGGAGUCAUGGCCUGGCUGAAUUAGGAUGGAAGAGCAUCGUUCAUGGUUCUUAGGAAAUUUGCACUCCAGGCUGGAAUUCUAGGCCCUCCAGGUUUGGGGGAAUGGGGCUGAGCUAACAUCCAACCUAAGGACAAGACCAUCCCAGCUGAUAUCAAAGCAGUUUGGAAAGCAUGUGAGAAAACUCCAGAUAGAACAAGGUCCAUCCUGGGCCUCAUUUUCUUCAUCUGUAAUGUGAGGAAGAAAGAAGAGAGAGGCUGAGGAUGAACCUCUCUGACUUCAUUGUUUCAUCCUGGGAAUGCUGAGUGACCAGUCCCCUUCAGCCACAAGCUAUAGUCAAAGUUCCUGAGAGAAGCAAAGUUGCUGCGAUGUGUGAUGUUACCCUCCUGUAAAUGACAGAAUCCUGUUCAGAGGCAGCACCCCGCAGGAGUUAGCACCGCGCAGACGUGAUGCAGCAUUAUAACGAUGCCCUACUUACCAGUUCCUGUUUUUUAUGACUGAAUGGAUGCUUGGACCUGCUUGGGGCUAUAUAAAGGGUUUUCCUGCCCUUGCCACACUCAGCCUGUCUUUGCCAAGACAAUUCCCAGGAGGGACUUAUACCUGUGAACAGGAACUGACAAAGAAGCAACUCAGCCCAAAAGUUUCCCAGGCUCCUGGGCUGUAGUAUGACCACCCUGUGACUCAUUUGGAUAAAGUAGGGCUCAACAGAUAUUUAUCAAAUGAACAAAUGAAUGAGAGGGUGGGUGAAUGAGUGUUUCCAUGAGUGGGCAGCCACUCCCUCCGGGAAUGAGAGUGCUUCCUACUCCAGAAUGUUGAGUGCUUUCGAAGGAAGUCCUCUGGGGCUUUCCUGAUGAGUGCUCCAUGAAGAAGCCACAGUUGUCUCCUCAAUUCAUUGUGGGGAGUCUUAGAUUUCUUUGGAACCCUAAAUGCUAAACUUCCUACUGGUAUAUAAUAGCUGCUCAAUAAAUGUGUGUUGAUGCAUUGUUUCUCCGGUGUGAGAAACUGAAAGUGGAAAUAAAGACUAAAAUAAAUAAAUAAAUACAUACAUACAUACAUAAAUAUGUGUUGAAUUGAAGGGGGAGCUAGAAAGAGAAAGAAG
rnacentral:lncRNA from 1 species